rnacentral:tRNA from 1 species
ACCGCGAUAGCUGAGCUGGUGGAGCAACUUCCCGGUAAGUGGAAGGCCGCCGGCUCGUUUCCGGCUUGUGGUG